AUGUUACCGUUGGAGAUUUGUUAUCAUUUGCCCACUGUAUCACACCACUUAAUACGAAAACUGAGGAGCAAACUACCCUUUUGGUUUACAUUCUCAGCAGCCGCCCAUCUCCUUCCCCAACCGGUACUCUCAACAUUCUUUCUUCUUCAAGGAGAAGAUCAGAACUGCUAAACUCCCCCAACCGCCACUCUCAACCGACUCUCUGAUACAGGAGGUAGUUUGCUGCUUUUUUAAAAAUUCAGGGGUUCGCAUUGUAGUUUUCUUUGCUCACGGAGAUUUUGUGCUAUUAAGGUUUUCCUAGUGGGUAACACAAUUGCCCCGUAAUUUUCUUUUUGUUUUUGCAGAUUCAACUGGGGACUGAUUGUGAGGAAUAAAUGUGAAAGAAUAUUGAAGCUGCUGGAGAAAGGCCCUGAUCUGAAAGAAGAAAGGGACAGGGCCCGGAAAGUUUCAAGAGGGAUUCAAGGAUUUGGCAGCUUCUGCCACAGGGAUUCAUCCGCUGGGCAUGAUGUAUUGCCAGAAUAAUCCCAGAAAGCAUUUGGGAGAUACAAUUCAGAGUUCAACCAGAAAAUAAAGUAUCUAAGCCCGGACAGUUCCAGUACUGGUGCGGAUUCCAGAGAAAAUUUGGCUCCAAAUGAAGAAAGCGGAAAUUUCGCUGGGGAAUCGAAGCCGCUGUUGGAACAGCAGAAAGAUGAGGCAGUCGUCCUCUUAGGAAGCCACCUCCGCCGUUUUCUGCGACCGCCGCCAUCUGGCCUCGGUCAAUUAUUUGUUAAGUGGAUCCCCAUUUGGUGGUUGAUAGUGGUAACCAAACUUGAGACUGCAAACUAUCAGACUAUUGGCCUUGAAUUGGUAAGUUUUCUGCAAUUAGCUGCUACUGAUACUUCCUUUGCUAGCACUUUGGUUUGAAAAAGUUUUGGCUUUGAUUGGCAACUGGGAGUCUACUACUUUAGGAGCGGUUAAUGUUAGUGAAGAUGAUCCCGACAAGUGUUAGCCAAAUGAUACAGUCGUCGGCUUGCUUCACAAUGACAUACUAGCUUUCAUGACACACACACAAGAGCUUUGCAGUUUCUUUUUCGGUUAUCUUUAGAACAAAUUUGGCCUAUUGUAAAUAGAAAUACUUUGUUUGUGUUUUCAGUGGAAAAAGCCUUUGUUAGA